ACCUGGAUGGCUCAGUUGGUUCGGCAUCUGACUUCAGCUCAGGUCAUGAUCUCAUGGUUUGUGGGUUCAAGCCCCAUGUCAGGCU
rnacentral:tRNA from 1 species